rnacentral:rRNA from 1 species
UACGUAGGGCGCAAGCGUUGUCCGGAAUUACUGGGCGUAAAGGGCGCGUAGGCGGUUGGAUAAGUCAGCUGUGAAAACCACGAGCUUAACUCGUGGCCUGCAGUUGAGACUGUCUGGCUUGAGUGUGGGAGAGGAGGGUGGAAUUCCUGGUGUAGCGGUGAAAUGCGUAGAUAUCAGGAGGAACACCGGUGGCGAAGGCGGCUCUCUGGACCACAACUGACGCUGAGGCGCGAAAGCUAGGGGAGCAAACAGG